rnacentral:tRNA from 1 species
CUUAAUAUAAUGAGCUUAUAGCAGUUUGAUUUCGACUCAAAUUAAGGAUUA